UUGCCUACGGGACGCAGCAGUGGGGAAUAUUGGGCAAUGGACGCAAGUCUGACCCAGCAACGCCGCGUGAAGGAAGAAGGCUUUCGGGUUGUAAACUUCUUUUAAGGGGGAAGAGUAGAAGACGGUACCCCUUGAAUAAGCCACGGCUAACUACGUGCCAGCAGCCGCGGUAAUACGUAGGUGGCAAGCGUUGUCCGGAUUUACUGGGUGUAAUGGGCGUGCAUCCGGAGAGACAAGUCAGAUGUGAAAUCCACGGGCGCAACCCGAGAACUGCAUUUGAAACUGGUUCCCUUG
rnacentral:rRNA from 1 species